GGUCGGAUGGCCUAGAGGUAAGGCGCUUGCUUAGGGUGCAAGAGAUCCCGGGUUCGAUCCCCGGUUCGACCC
ensembl:tRNA